UCCUUGAUGGUCCAGUGGCUAGAACUCAGCCCUCCCAAUGCAGGAGGCCUAGUUUCAAUCCCUGGUCAGGGAA
rnacentral:tRNA from 1 species